rnacentral:misc_RNA from 1 species
UCUUUACCUUCAGUAUGAGGAUGAGGAUAAGCCAAUCUAUUUUUAUAUAAAUUCUACUGGGACUACCAAGGGUGGUGAAAAGUUGGGUUAUGAGACAGAGGCGUUUGCUGUAUAUGACGUUAUGAGUUACGUCAAGCCACCUAUAUUUACUCUGUGUGUUGGGAAUGCAUGGGGAGAAGCUGCCUUGCUUUUAGCAGCUGGUUCAAAAGGAAAUCGUGCUGCACUGCCCUCAUCUACAAUUAUGAUUAAGCAGCCAAUUUCUCAGUUUCAGGGUCAAGCAACAGAUGUUGAGAUCAUGCGGAAAGAAGUAAAUAAUGUCAAAGCGGAAUUGGUCAAAUUGUAUUCAGAAAAUACUGGAAAAUCACCUGAGGAGAUUGAAGAAGACAUAAAACGUCCAAAAUACUUUAGUCCUAGUGAAGCAGUAGAAUAUGGAAUUAUUGAUAAGGUUGUAUACAAUGAGAGGGGAAAUAAAGAUAGAGGAGUUGUAUCUGAUCUGAAGAAGGCCCAACUUAUCUGAAAGGAGUCAAAAGUCCCACCAGCCACGAAACCACAGGGAUUGAGGCCCGGGGGUGGCGUUUGGCAUCUACCUUUCACCGGCAAUUCAUCAACAAGGCUAUUUCCCAUCAUGAACGCUCCUUUUAAUCUACAGAUUGCCUCGAACUAUAUUAGAGGCCACAGUUGGGACAGCUAUUAUACUUGUUUUAUACAGAUCCUAGUCACUUAGAUUCUGCAUUCUGUGUUGGCUCAACGAAGUAGCUUAUAGAACACGUGUGAAGUUUGCACUAUUUUAGAAUGUUAUGGUCUUAAGAUGGUUCCAAUAUUCAGUAAAAUAUUCUAACUGCAAGUCUUUACACCAAUUUGUUAAGUGGAGAUCUCAGAAAGGUGAAACAAUUCG